AACGAACGCUGGCGGCAGGCUUAACACAUGCAAGUCGAACGAGAAGCUUUCCUUCGGGGAAGUGGAAAGUGGCAGACGGGUGAGUAACGCGUGGGAACGUGCCUUUCGGUUCGGAAUAACUCAGGGAAACUUGGGCUAAUACCGAAUACGCCCUCCGGGGGAAAGAUUAUCGCCGAAAGAUCGGCCCGCGUCGGAUUAGCUUGUUGGUGAGGUAAAAGCUCACCAAGGCGACGAUCCGUAGCUGGUCUGAGAGGAUGAUCAGCCACACUGGGACUGAGACACGGCCCAGACUCCUACGGGAGGCAGCAGUGGGGAAUAUUGGACAAUGGGCGCAAGCCUGAUCCAGCCAUGCCGCGUGGGUGAAGAAGGCCUUAGGGUUGUAAACCCCUUUCAGCGGGAAGAUAAUGACGGUACCGCAGAAGAAGCCCCGGCCUAACCUCCGUGCCAGCCGCCG
rnacentral:rRNA from 1 species